UACGAAGGGGGCUAGCGUUGUUCGGAAUUACUGGGCGUAAAGCGCGCGCAGGCGGUCUUCCAAGUCAGUGGUGAAAGCCUGGAGCUCAACUCCAGAACUGCCAUUGAAACUGUUAGACUUGAGUACGAGAGAGGUGAGUGGAAUUCCCGGUGUAGAGGUGAAAUUCGUAGAUAUUGGGAAGAACACCGGUGGCGAAGGCGGCUCACUGGCUCGUAACUGACGCUCAGGCGCGACAGCGUGGGGAUCAAACAGG
rnacentral:rRNA from 1 species